AGUGGAAUUCCUGGGUCAUAUAGUCAUCCUAUGUUUUUUUGAGGAACUGCCAAACUGUUUUCCACAGUGGCUGUACCAUUUUGCAUUCCCACUAGCAAU
rnacentral:pre_miRNA from 1 species